UGAAAGGCAAUGAAGAUGAAUGAUGGAGCAUAGAUGCCUUGGUUAUGUUUUAUUUAGUUAUGGUUUGGUUGUGUUGUUUAUUUAUUUAUUAUGGUUUGGUUGUGGUUUGUUAUUAUUAUUGUGCCUUGUUUGUAGUUUUUUAUAUUUUAAUUUUGUUUUAUUUGAUGUAUGGAAUAUGUUGAAUAAAAAGUUAUUUUAUUGAAUGCUUUGUUU
rnacentral:lncRNA from 1 species